CCUACGGGUGGCAGCAGUGGGGAAUAUUGCUCAAUGGGCGAAAGCCUGAACCAGCCACGCCGCGUGAAGGAAGACGGUCCUCCGAUUGUUAACUUCUGUUCGUAGUGAAGCAUAAUGACGGUAGCUAAGCAGCAAGCCACGGCUCACUACGUGACAGCAGACGCGGGACUACGUCGGUGGCCAGCGUUGUCCGGAAUUACUGGGUGUAAAGGGGGCGUAGGUGGGAAGCCAAGUCCGGUGGGAAAACUACGGGCCUAAGCUGCAGACUGCAGUUGAAACUGGUUUUCUUGAGUGAAGUAGAGGUAGGCGGAAUGCGGGGUGUAGCGGUGAAAUGCGUAGAUAUUAGGAGGAACACCGGUUGCGAAGGCGGCAAGCUGGGUUUUGACUGACGCUGAGGCUCGAAAGUGUGGGGAGCGAACAGGAUUAGAUACCCGAGUAGUC
rnacentral:rRNA from 1 species